CUGGAGCAUCCCAGGAUACUGGUAUCCUCGCUGGUCCAAGAACCAGUCCCCUGCCACACCAAGGGACGAUUGUACUUCCUUCUGUCCUUAUCCUGGUUGCACAGUAAGUAAGCCCAUCUUACUUACGGCACAGCUUGGGUCCCCCAGCACCUGCAUGGCAGAAGGUGCAGGUUCAGACACUGCUCACAUGCUUCCCCAGCUGAGGCUCAUGUGGAUGCUGAAUGCUUAUUCAGAAAAUAUCUUCACAUGUGUGGAACGGCUAUUCAAGGAUGGAGCUGCCCGGUUCAAUUUUUCUGAUGAUUCCCGUGGCGAGAGCUGAAUUGACCUGAGGGAGCCGGCCCUGCUGCAAGGCUGGUAGGUGAGGCACUGCCCUGGCAUUGGU